AUAGGUUCCCGAUGGCCAAAGCUAAAAUAUAUUUUUAAAUGUUUAUUUCUGAGAGAGAGAGAGGGCGUGAGAGCGCACACAAGAAGAGGAAGAGACAGAGGAUCUGAAGUGGGCUCUGCUCUGACAGCAGUGAGUGUGAUGUGGAGCUCAAACCCACGAGCUGUGAUACCGUGACCUAAGCCAAAGUUGGAUGCUCAACCAACUGAGCCACCCAGGCGCCCCAAGAUUGUAAGAUUUAAUUUUUAUUUUAUUUAAAAAAAUUUUUAAUGUUUUACUUAUUUUUUUUUCUUUUGAGAAAGAGAGCAAGGAGGGGCAGGCAGAGAGGGAGAGAAUCUUAAGCAGGCCAACCCCCAGUGCACAGUCAACGAGCCUGAUGUGGGGUUUCUGUCUCAAUGACCAUGAGAUCAUGACCUGAGCCGAAAUCAAGUUUACGUUUAACCAACUGAGACACCUAGGCAGUUCUAAAUAGUUGUUUUAAGAACACUUUUAGAUUUAUUGAAAAAUCAAGAAUAUAUUCUAGAAUUCCCAUUUAUCUAUUAUUAAUCUUAUGUUACCAUAUUACAAUUUAUAAAUCAAUACAUUAUUAUCUAAAAUCUACACUUUAUUUAUUAGCUUUUACCCAGCAUCUUUCUGUUCUGAAAUCCCUUUAGAAUACCAAUUAGAUUUAAUUUUCGUGUCUCCUUAGGCUUCUCUUAGCUGUGGCAGUUUCUCAGACCUAACUUUCCUUAUUGUUGAUGACCUGGGCAAUUUUGAGGAGUACUGGUCAGGAGGUCAGAAAUGCAAACUGUGACAAAAAGGAUCUAACUGUGCUGCAAAUGCAUGAAUAACAUCACAGAAGAGAGUAAAAGGAAAAAGUCCUGAUCCAGGUAACUCUGGAAAUGCAUGGUAUAUGUAAAGCUAAAAAGUGUUGCACAUAAGACCUACACUCUAGUUGAAAAACUUAUCUCCCAUGGGAAUAUAGGUUAACAAUUCUGAUACUAUUGUAUGUACAUACUAGAACCAAAAAAUUAAGUAAAUGGGGCGCAUGGGUGGCUCAGUCAGUUAAGCGUCCUACUCUUGAUCUCAGCUCAGGUCUUGAUCUCAGGGUUGUAAGUUCAAGCCCUGCAUUGGGCUCCAUGCUGGGCAUAAAGCCUACUUAAAAAAAAAAAAAAAAAAAAAAAUUUAAUAAGGACAAAUGGAGAGAGCCAGCUUUGUCCCUGUUGCAGUGAGCAUUUACAGAUAAGCAAGGGGAGGAGGCUAGAAUGAUCCAUGUGGUAAUAUAACAGAUUAGAGGUAAAGCCAAAUUAUAAAACCAGGUUUAGCUUGGUAUAGAUACAAAUGACUACAUACAGAUUUAUGGAUGUGUGUAUAGAUAUGCACAUACAUUUUCUUGCUUGAUCAGCUAUGACAGCUCAAUAAAAGCAACAAGACCUCUCAGUAGCAAUGAGCACAUUUAGUACCCAAAUUUUCGUUUCCAACACCAUUCUCCAAUAAAGGGAACUGGGGUUCCUUAGAGAGACAGCUGAUUCUGGGACUAGGGCAGGAAAUAUACAAGAUGAGUCUGGAGUAUUCUGAAGUGCCAGAGAGUAAGGAAGUGCUCAAAACCCAAACACACCAAAAAUAAACCGUCUUGAUGAUGCACAGGAACCAACAGAAAGGUUCCCAAUGGCCAAAGCUAGAACAAUUUAAGCAACAAAGUAGUAUUAAAUUAUAACCCCAAGUAUAAAAACAAAUAUUUAGGAGUCCAUACUGACAUAAAUAAGUGACUGAAUAAGUCAACAAAAGAGAAAAAAAUCUCUCAUGCAGAAUUCCAAAUAAUUUAUGUAGAUACUCUGUUCUCUUUAAGUUUGAGCUGUGCAGUGACUUCUUUCUAAAGAAUAAAAUAUGGAAAGUAUGGAGAGGAGAAUACAGUGAAGAUACCUGACAAAUACUACUUCAACCAGAUGAUGAGUCAACAUCAACUAUAAUAAAUCAUAUUAAUAGUAUAGUAUAUACAUGAUAAAAAUGGCACUUCACCUCUAUGGUUUUCCUCCCAUCCACAACUCUAGUCUAAUCAUGAGGAAAACAGGAGACAAAUCACAAUAGAGAAGUAUCUAUAACACCAGACCAGUAUCCCCCAAAACUGCCCAAGUCAUCAAGACAAGUCUGAGACACUGCCACAGUCAAGAGAAGUUUAAGGAGACACGAAAGCUAAAUGUAAUUGGUAUCCUAGAUGGAAUUCUAGAACAGAAGAACAGUAGGUAAAAAGCUAAAGAACUCU